UACGUAGGGUGCGAGCGUUGUCCGGAUUUAUUGGGCGUAAAGGGCUCGUAGGCGGCGUGUCGCGUCGGGGAGUGAAAGCCCGCUGCUUAACGGCGGGUUGGCUUCCGGUACGGGCAUCGCUGGAGUGCGGCAGGGGAGACUGGAAUUCCUGGUGUAGCGGUGGAAUGCGCAGAUAUCAGGAGGAACACCGGUGGCGAAGGCGGGUCUCUGGGCCGUUACUGACGCUGAGGACGAAAGCGUGGGGAGCAACAGG
rnacentral:rRNA from 1 species